CAGCCGCCACGGUAAUACGUAGGUGGCAAGCGUUGUCCGGAAUUAUUGGGCGUAAAGGGCUCGCAGGCGGUUUCUUAAGUCUGAUGUGAAAGCCCCCGGCUCAACCGGGGAGGGUCAUUGGAAACUGGGAAACUUGAGUGCAGAAGAGGAGAGUGGAAUUCCACGUGUAGCGGUGAAAUGCGUAGAGAUGUGGAGGAACACCAGUGGCGAAGGCGACUCUCUGGUCUGUAACUGACACUGAGGAGCGAAAGCGUGGGGAGCGAACAGGAUUAGAUACCCGCGUAGUCCCUGUCUCUUAUAC
rnacentral:rRNA from 1 species